CUUAAAUGAAUUGACGGGGCCCGCACAAGCGGUGGAGCAUGUGGUUUAAUUCGAUGCAACGCGAAGAACCUUACCUGGGCUUGACAUCCCGGGAAUCCCUUGGAAACAAGGGAGUGCCCUUCGGGGAACCUGGAGACAGGUGCUGCAUGGCUGUCGUCAGCUCGUGUCGUGAGAUGUAGGGUUAAGUCCCGCAACGAGCGCAACCCUUGUCUUUAAUUGCCAUCAUUGAGUUGGGCACUUUAAAGAGACUGCCGGUGUUAAACCGGAGGAAGGUGGGGAUGACGUCAAGUCCUCAUGGCCUUUAUGCCCAGGGCUACACACGUGCUACAAUGGGUGGUACAAAGAGACGCCAACCAGCGAUGGUGCGCAAAUCUCAAAAAGCCGGUCUCAGUUCAGAUCGAAGUCUGCAACUCGACUUCGUGAAGGCGGAAUUGCUAGUAAUCGCGAAUCAGCCAUGUCGCGGUGAAUACGUUCCCGGGGUUU
rnacentral:rRNA from 1 species